UACGAAGGGGGCUAGCGUUGCUCGGAUUGACUGGGCGUAAAGGGCGCGUAGGCGGUUCGUACAGUCAGACGUGAAAUUCCUGGGCUCAACCUGGGGGCUGCGUUUGAUACGUGCGGACUUGAGUGCGGAAGAGGGUCGUGGAAUUCCCAGUGUAGAGGUGAAAUUCGUAGAUAUUGGGAAGAGCACCGGUGGCGAAGGCGGCGACCUGGUCCGAUACUGACGCUGAGGCGCGAAAGCGUGGGGAGCAAACAGG
rnacentral:rRNA from 1 species